GACGUAGGGGCGAGCGUUGUCCGGAAUUACUGGGCGUAAAGAGCACGUAGGCGGGAACUUAAGUCAGGUGUGAAAGACCGUGGCUCAACCACGGGGUGGCAUUUGAAACUGGGUUUCUUGAGGGCAGGAGAGGAAAGCAGAAUUCCUGGUGUAGCGGUGAAAUGCGUAGAAAUCAGGAGGAAUACCAGUGGCGAAGGCGGCUUUCUGGACUGACCCUGACGCUGAGGUGCGAAAGCGUGGGUAGCAAACAGGAUUAGAUACCCUGGUAGUCCCUGAG
rnacentral:rRNA from 1 species